UCUUGGUCAUUUAGAGGAAGUAAAAGUCGUAACAAGGUUUCCGUAGGUGAACCUGCGGAAGGAUCAUUAAAGAAAUUUAAUAAUUUUGAAAAUGGAUUUUUUUUUUUUGUUUUGGCAAGAGCAUGAGAGCUUUUACUGGGCAAGAAGACAAGAGAUGGAGAGUCCAGCCGGGCCUGCGCUUAAGUGCGCGGUCUUGCUAGGCUUGUAAGUUUCUUUCUUGCUAUUCCAAACGGUGAGAGAUUUCUGUGCUUUUGUUAUAGGACAAUUAAAACCGUUUCAAUACAACACACUGUGGAGUUUUCAUAUCUUUGCAACUUUUUCUUUGGGCAUUCGAGCAAUCGGGGCCCAGAGGUUAACAAACACAAACAAUUUUAUCUAUUCAUUAAAUUUUUGUCAAAAACAAGAAUUUUCGUAACUGGAAAUUUUAAAAUAUUAAAAACUUUCAACAACGGAUCUCUUGGUUCUCGCAUCGAUGAAGAACGCAGCGAAAUGCGAUACGUAAUGUGAAUUGCAGAAUUCCGUGAAUCAUCGAAUCUUUGAACGCACAUUGCGCCCCUUGGUAUUCCAGGGGGCAUGCCUGUUUGAGCGUCAUUUCCUUCUCAAACAUUCUGUUUGGUAGUGAGUGAUACUCUUUGGAGUUAACUUGAAAUUGCUGGCCUUUUCAUUGGAUGUUUUUUUUUCCAAAGAGAGGUUUCUCUGCGUGCUUGAGGUAUAAUGCAAGUACGGUCGUUUUAGGUUUUACCAACUGCGGCUAAUCUUUUUUAUACUGAGCGUAUUGGAACGUUAUCGAUAAGAAGAGAGCGUCUAGGCGAACAAUGUUCUUAAAGUUUGACCUCAAAUCAGGUAGGAGUACCCGCUGAACUUAAGCAUAUCAAUAAGCGGAG
rnacentral:rRNA from 1 species